UCAAAUGCAAGCCAAAUCACGAUCGUUGUAUCUGGCUCUUGCGUUUGCUCAAGUGUUACAACUGUUAAACAGAGUAUAUUAGCAAGCAUGUAAAUCAAUCUAUUGGAAAUACAUUUUAUUAUCAUUUGCAAUUCAGUACACGAGUGAUAAUAGGAAUCCUUGGUCAAAUAGGAUACAGGAGGAAAAGCUGUUGUACAAAGAGCAAUGUAAAUCAAAUGGAUUUAAUAUUAGACACAGAGUAUAGUACGUAAUAGUAUGUGUUUAAACAAAACUUCACUUAAUUUCAAUCAAAGGCUCACUGUUAAACCAUGUUAAACAUAAUAAAUUAGCAAAUCGACUUAAAUACAGUCUGAUAACAAAUCUAAAAGUGAUACUAUUUCCACUGGGCUGUUUUUAUAUUUUACACUGUGCAUGCAGAUCAGUUCAACACUAUAACAUAAGGAGCACUUUAUAUGCAUUUAUUUGUGUUUUGUAACUGGCUUGUGUUUUUUUCUUUCAAAAGAAAUAUACAUUAUAUCACUCAGUAAUGGAUGGACUGGAGUUGAAAUUCUUAAAAACAUUUUGAGGAAAAGCGCGCCGGCGUGCUCGCUAAACGUAACGUUAUACACGGUCGAGCGUUAACCCACUAGCACUAAACGUGCACUGGCCAAUCACAGGACGCGUAAUUUCUUGGUCCCCGUUCUAAUUCUGGCCAAUGACCAUCUCUUGGAGGCGGAGCAAAGAGCUGACGCACUGGGGCGCGUGAUUGACGCAAGCAACGUUUCUAAAAAUAGCAGCGGGCGGCCCGGCGGUGUGAGAUAGCCGAUGCUUCAUUCAUUGUACCGGGGCGGGUCCGUUUAUUUUAGACAUUUGAUUGUGUUCCAGCCAAUCCAAAUAUAGUCGUAGACAGGUAUUUUUAGCGGAAGCGUGUCCCCGUUUCCUCUUGCCAGGGAACAACCUCAUGACACGGCCGUGUUGUAACGGGAGAUUGGCGCUAGCUCGUGGGUUCACUUCUCCAGCUCCAGGAGCACAGCUCGGUGGAAUCGGGGUUCCAUGUAAACCGAUUGUUUUACUUCCUGUUUUUAGAAAGACGCGUCCAAAGGUGUCAAAGUGAUGGCGUUGCACGCCUUGGUGAACGGAAAAGACGCUUCAAACCUCUUCAGGUCCAUAAAAAAUUGUCAAAAAAAGCACGAACGCUCUCAUUACGACGACUUUACUUGCCAACAAAGCGUCUUUAUAAACUGUACAAACUGUAGAGUCAAUCUGAAGCACUUGCGACUGUCUAAUAAAGCUGAAGAGAAACUUUAGAUCUUGCGCAUGCGCAGAAGCUAAUUCCCGUUCUGUAAGAUGAGUCUCUGAGUGAGCGCGUGCUGGGGGGGGAUUCCACUUUCCAUGACCUCUGUCAUCCUCACCUUCUUCCACACACUCGGUCAUUUUGAUCAAAAGUUUGACGUGAAACACUGUCACCACCAGAGCAGUUUAAUUUACAAGAAUAUAAAAAUCAUCAGUAAAGGUAAAGAUCUUCCUGACCUUCGAAGCUGAGGUGCAGGUUCACACUUCUUAGUCACUUUGCACAGUUGAUGCCUGUUUUUUUUGUUUGGUUUGGUUUCAAUCAGAACAGACUCAUGCACCACCAGAUGGACUCCAGUCCGACACUGGACACAGUGCAUACACACAUUCAGAGGUUUUGUCAGAUCUAGCUCAGGGGCAGCUCAGCUUGGAGGGAAACAGAACUCCGAGGAAUCCCAGGGGGAAGAACAUGCAAACCCAUUCGCAUACAGUAACCAGAGCUCAGGACGAAACUGGAUUGACCCUAGGACUGUCAGGUGGCAACUUGACCCACUGUGUGACCAUGCCACUCAAUAAAUAAAUGAUUGUAUGUGUAUA